GUGCUAUCAUGCAGUCGAACGCUUCUUUCCUCCCGAGUGCUUGCACUCAAUUGGAAAGAGGAGUGGCGGACGGGUGAGUAACACGUGGGUAACCUACCCAUCAGAGGGGGAUAACACUUGGAAACAGGUGCUAAUACCGCAUAACAGUUUAUGCCGCAUGGCAUAAGAGUGAAAGGCGCUUUCGGGUGUCGCUGAUGGAUGGACCCGCGGUGCAUUAGCUAGUUGGUGAGGUAACGGCUCACCAAGGCCACGAUGCAUAGCCGACCUGAGAGGGUGAUCGGCCACACUGGGACUGAGACACGGCCCAGACUCCUACGGGAGGCAGCAGUAGGGAAUCUUCGGCAAUGGACGAAAGUCUGACCGAGCAACGCCGCGUGAGUGAAGAAGGUUUUCGGAUCGUAAAACUCUGUUGUUAGAGAAGAACAAGGACGUUAGUAACUGAACGUCCCCUGACGGUAUCUAACCAGAAAGCCACGGCUAACUACGUGCCAGCAGCCGCGGUAAUACGUAGGUGGCAAGCGUUGUCCGGAUUUAUUGGGCGUAAAGCGAGCGCAGGCGGUUUCUUAAGUCUGAUGUGAAAGCCCCCGGCUCAACCGGGGAGGGUCAUUGGAAACUGGGAGACUUGAGUGCAGA
rnacentral:rRNA from 1 species